rnacentral:rRNA from 1 species
AUGAACGCUAGCGGCAGGCUUAACACAUGCAAGUCGAGGGGCAGCGAGGGUAGCAAUACCUGUCGGCGACCGGCGGAAGGGUGAGUAACGCGUGAGCAACAUACCCGUAUCAGGUGGGAAUAAUACAGGGAAACUUGUUCUAAUAUCGCAUAAUAUUAUUCAGAGGCAUCUUUGGAUAAUUAAAGUUACGGCGGAUACGGAAUGGCUCGCGUGACAUUAGUUAGAUGGUAGGGUAAUGGCCUACCAUGGCGAUGAUGUCUAGGGGUUCUGAGAGGGAGGUCCCCCACACUGGAACUGAGACACGGUCCAGACUCCUACGGGAGGCAGCAGUGAGGAAUAUUGGACAAUGGAUGGAAAUCUGAUCCAGCCAUGCCGCGUGCAGGAAGGCGGCCCUAUGGGUUGUAAACUGCUUUUGUACGGGAGCAAUAAGGUCUACGAGUAGAUUGAUGAGAGUACUGUACGAAUAAGCAUCGGCUAACUCCGUG